CAAAGGUUUGGCGAAGGCUUUGAUUACGAGGAUAAAAUAGCUAGAAACGAUGAAGAGGCCAAUAAGGUAGAUUUGAUGGAAGAGGCAAAAAGCAUAAUCGUGUUGAAUCUAUCGAAUGAGAUGUUGAUUGAAGUGGCUGAAGAGAUACGACGCUACGGACGUGGGUAAACUUUAGUCACUUUAUCUGAUAAAGGGUCUGACUAAUCAGUUGUACAUGCUUUAAAGGAUGUUUCAAUUUUGGGUGGUUGGACAAACAAAUAUCAAUACCCAUUUAAUGAGCUCAACAAGCUCAUGAUGGACAUGAGUAACGCCAAUGAUACCUUGCCCGAUGAGACACAAGGUAUGAUAUUGUUAGUGUACACUAUAUUCUUUUGAGCACUUUACCAUUUCACCGUUGUAGGGCCACACUACAUUAUCCCAGAAUAGCUAAAGUCCACCUUGGGAGUGGCAAAAGAAGUUACAAGAAGAUAGCUUUGUGCAAAAUAUAACGCCAAGUUUACUUAUCCAAGUUAGAGACGAACGUUCCAACCAAAAAAAAAAAAGAAGGUAGAAACGAACGUAGAGAGUGGAGGUAGUAGAUAGAAGAGCCAUUCUAUACAGAGGUAGAAUGUCUGGCAUGAUGGGACUACAAGAUAAAUUAUUCGACAUACUAGGGCAAAGGAGUUAAGGUGAAGUUUGCGGUGAGGUCAAUGUUUGUCGCUACAACAUAAAAUAGUUCCAAUGAUGUCGAUGAUGUCUUAGCAGUCACCACAAAUUCAUUAGGUGAUGAUUGAGUGCUUGAUUCUGAAAGUUCUUAUCACGUGGCUUCUUAUAGACAUCGGUUUACUACCUCUUAGUGCAUUAAGGUGUUAAGGCUCUUAUGGAAUCGGUAUGGCUCAUUGUUAGGAAAUAUGUGAGUGAGGGUGGAAUGGUCAUUUUAUGUUUAGAGGGUUUAGUCUCAUAUAUAUUCUUGUAAUCUCUUUGUUCAAUACAAGAAAUCAUUAUCUCCUCAAACAUGGUAUUGGAGCUAAAUCCCUCGCCUAUGAUUCUAGUUGCCCACUCGUUGUUGCCAAUUGCUCCAUCCGAUUGCUGGCCUAUGACUCCUCUACCGAGCCUUGAUUGGGCCUCGUCCAUAGUUGGCCAUCCGAUCGAGCCUCGAGUCAUUGCAAUCGAGUUGACAUUGCUAUGCGACUUGCUGUCCUAGGAUUUCUGAAGUUGCCAAUGAAAAUUGACCUCUGUCAAGUUAGAUGUAAAUAACUAUCCAUCUUGGUCUAAAGCGGUCAAAGUCUAUCUUACCGCCACUAUACAACGUGAUUAUAUAACGUCACGGUCCCGAUCGUAGUAAGGCACCCGAUUGGCUUGUUGUAAAUGUGAUGAUCUGUACUCUUUUAUGGAAUAGUAUGGAUCUUAAAAUUAGUUAUCACUAAAUGAAUUGUAACUCUGCUAAGGAAGUUUGGGAGAAGUGUGCCUUACUUUAUUUUGGGACAAAACAACAUGACACGAGUGUGUUACAUGUGGGAGGCACUAUUUGAUCUUCGGCGUGGAGAUCAAUUUUUAUUUGAGUAUUAUGCUCGUUUCUCGACACUUUGUAGGCAUUUGGAUAUUUAUCUUCUAGCUUCAAAAGCCAAUUAUUUUAGCUAAACACCAAGAGUACCUUCGACCGAUAUCGUUUCUCAAGGCACUAGGGCCUAAAUAUUCCUUCCUUCACCAGCAAAUUACAUCUCUGAGUUCCCUUCCUACGGUAGAUGGGAUUUUCUCCCAAGCUUUUCAUUCGACACCUGCUUAAAAGAUAUCCACCAUGGCUUUGGAGACAAGUGCUAUGAUUUCUCAUGGCUCUAGUGGACGUGGAGCUUGUGGUCGUGGUUACCGGGGUGGUGGACGUGGUUUUGCUUAGAGUGGAGGUCAUGGAAGCCGUGAUGGAGGCAUUGGUGCUUGUGGUGCUUCUAUUUAUGGGGGUAGUCGUGCUCCUCGUGUUGUAAUCAUUGUCCAAGGGCUGGACAUACAGAGGCUUAUUGCUACACUCUUCAUCCCGAGCUUAGACUUGCUCUUGCUG